GAUGAAGAACGCAGCAAAAUGCGAUAAGUAAUGUGAAUUGCAGAAUUCAGUGAAUCAUCGAAUCUUUGAACGCACAUUGCGCCCGCAAGUAUUCUGGCGGGCAUGCCUGUUCGAGCGUCAUUUCAACCCUCAAGCACAGCUUGGUGUUGGGACUCGCGUUAAUUCGCGUUCCCCAAAUUGAUUGGCGGUCACGUCGAGCUUCCAUAGCGUAGUAGUAAAACCCUCGUUACUGGUAAUCGUCGCGGCCACGCCGUUAAACCCCAACUUCUGAAUGUUGACCUCGGAUCAGGUAGGAAUACCCGCUGAACUUAAGCAUAUCAAUAAGCGGAGGA
rnacentral:misc_RNA from 1 species